GGAGGAUGCGAGCGUUGUUCGGAAUCACUGGGCUUAAAGAGCGUGUAGGCGGGGAUGUAGGGGUGUCUUGUGAAAGCCCCCGGCUCAACCGGGGAAUAGCUUGGCAAACCGACAUUCUUGAGGCAGGUAGAGGCGACUGGAACCUUUGGUGGAGAGGUGAAAUUCGUAGAUAUCAAAGGGAACGCCGGUGGCGAAAGCGAGUCGCUGGGCCUGUCCUGACGCUGAGGCGCGAAAGCGUAGGUAGCGAACGGGAUUAGAUACCCCGGUAGUCUACGCCGUAAACGAUGCGCACUAGGCACGAGGAGUUCUGACGCUCUUCGUGCCGUAGCAAAAGUGUUAAGUGCGCCGCCUGGGGAGUACGGCCGCAAGGCUA
rnacentral:rRNA from 1 species